CCUGAGAAACCCAAAAGAUCGAAUGGGGAGAUUCAUCGUCAGCUCAUUUUGUAUAUGUAUGAGUUACGAUGCGGGUUACUACUUGUAGUAUUGCCUGCACGUUCUUAUAUAUUUAGUUGCAAGAUGUUGUCGUCGUGCACUUCUCCCCUAGUAGGACGUCGCGACCCGUUGGGUGUCGGUCUACGGCCCAAGUGGGAGCCUUUGAUGUUUCAUAACAUCAAAGACCCUUGGUGUUUUCUGACCGGCUACUCGGCGGUACUCGUACGGUAUUAAGCCGCAUAUUAUGCGUUCAUAUCCGUCGCAAGCGCGGCCUUCUGGUAGUACGGACCUAGUGCCGUCGCUGGUAUUGGCCAGCUGUUGGUUGUACGGUGUUCUAGAACUGGCUAUAUUACCGGUCGGCGAUGCUACUGCUUUGGGUACUUUCAGGACCCGUCUUGAAACACGGACCAAGGAGUCUAACAUGUGCGCAAGUCAUUGGGAUUUUUUNAAAAUUAAACCUAAAGGCGUAAUGAAAGUAAAGGUCGUCCUUGCGUCGACCGAGGGAGGAUGAGUUGUUUUACGAUACAGC
rnacentral:rRNA from 1 species